rnacentral:rRNA from 1 species
AUACGAAGGGUGCAAGCGUUACUCGGAAUUACUGGGCGUAAAGCGUGCGUAGGUGGUUGUUUAAGUCUGUCGUGAAAGCCCUGGGCUCAACCUGGGAAUGGCGAUGGAAACUGGGCGACUAGAGUGUGGCAGAGGGUAGUGGAAUUCCUGGUGUAGCAGUGAAAUGCGUAGAGAUCAGGAGGAACAUCCGUGGCGAAGGCGACUGCCUGGGCCAACACUGACACUGAGGCACGAAAGCGUGGGGAGCAAACAGGAUUAGAUACCCUGGUAGUCCACGCCCUAAACGAUGCGAACUGGAUGUUGGGUGCAAUUUGGCACGCAGUAUCGAAGCUAACGCGUUAAGUUCGCCGCCUGGGGAGUACGGUCGCAAGACUGA